rnacentral:lncRNA from 1 species
GAGACAAUAUUAAUAUCCCUUUCCCGUGAUGAUUAUCAUAACAGAAUCAAGUAUAGUGGAACUAAGAAGGAACAACGAAACAGUAGUAAAAAUGAAUUAUUACAACACUGUUCAUUCUAAUAAAAUCAAUAUACAACUUCUUUUACAGCUCAAUCUGACUGUACUUAAUUACUCCAAACUCAAAAACUCCUAGGUGCAAUAUCAACAAUUAUCAUGAAAGGUAUUUUGUAUCAGAAAUGAGCAGAUUAUUGCAACUUCAGCAUGUUAUAUGGCAUUUUAGGCAUACAAUGAGGAGGAAAUUUAAGGAAUAACACAGUAUAUUCAACUUAUCACUCAAAACUAGAUUCCAAACAAUAAUCAAAUAAACACAACUUGAGGGGUAUCAAAUAAAUUAGCAAUGAUCAAAUAAACACAACUUACAGCAGAGUAGACAAAAAGAAAACAAAUCUCUGAAGUUGGGAAGGAGCAACAGCAAGAACAAACACAGCAGCAGAAAACAUCACACAAUAGCUUUAAACCUUACUCCCAAAAAAUCCAAAAAUAAAUCAGAACCAAUGGAACAGUGUUGAUAAAUUCUGAUUCCUACUUUUAGAAUGUUUUUUGUGAAAAGAAAUGAGUGAGGGUGAGUGUUGAUUCUCUGAAAAAUGCCAAAAUUCGUGUGUGUGUGUUAUGCAGAGAAUCAACGAAUAUAUAGGAGAAUGUCAACGGUAAAAAUGGAACAAAAAAUAUCUUUUUCAACCAAUUUUUGUAAAGUUAUCCCUUUUCAGUUAUUCUUUUUUCCUUUUUAAACCUUUGUAUUUUCUAUAUUCACUCCUCAGCCCUAACACCUGGCUACUUUGUUUUUUAUUUUUAUUUUUUUGCAAAUUAGCCCCUCCUAGAAGCUUCCUAGAUAACUAAACAAGAUUCCCUAUUUUUGGCAUACCCUUUAGCCCCCUCAAUUUCCUGUAUUUACUAUUUAUUUGAGAUUUAAAAUCUAAAAGCAGACUAACACUUAGAUCUUAGUUACAAUGGAUAGAUGUUAAACAUGACUUAUUAAGAAAUGACUAAUUAAUUAAGACAGAACAUUGACAUUUAAUUAAUUUGUAAGAAAACAAAAUGCGAUUUAAACUAUCAAUUUUGCCUAAACAUCAUGAUUAAGUAUUAAAAUAAAUCACUACUAACCUACCUCUAAACAAAUUUGAGUUUUGACCAAAUGAAAUUCAAAAAACAAAUAUAACUUGCCAAGAUUAACAGUUUAAAUCAAACAACCAAAUAAGUUCAGUCAAAGAAAUUAAUCCUAAGUAUAACCUAAACUAAGUGACAGAAUCAUAAAAAAUAAAAACUUUUAACCUAAUGCAAAUAUCUCAAAGGUGAGGAGCGGAUGAAAAGAGAUUACCUAUUGAAACUCUAUUGACAUGACAGAGAAAACCUCCGAGAAAAAUUGGCUGGCCAACAGCCAGCUGACCAAAACAUGACUUCUGAGAAACGGGAUGAAUCCCACAUCAGUGGAAAACUCGUGUCAAGAUCUUUCUACUGAUGUGAGUCUCAACUGCAAAAGAGGACGGAUUGGUCGAGGUUAUGAAGACAGAUUGCAUGGCGGCUAGGAUUUGGUUUUAAAUUUUGAAAUUUGAGAGAUUCAGUGAGUUUUUAGCAGAAAUUAAAAGCGGGAUAGUCAUGGGGAGAUUGUGGAGAUUGUAUGGUGAGAGUUCGGGUGGAUUUGGGGUUGCGCUGUCGGCAAGGGUGGCUUAUGGUGGUGGUAGGCGUUUAGGGUAUGAAAGUAUUUGAGAGAAGAUGAAAUGAAGGGCUUC